AAAGUCGUAACAAGGUUUCCGUAGGUGAACCUGCGGAAGGAUCAUCACCGAGUGUAAUGAUACACUAUACCGUGUGGACUGUAUGUAGUGGGGGUGUGUGGGUGUUUGGCAGAGGCGGCACACCGCGUGCGGCAGCACGCGGGAUGUGCCUGGUGCGGGUCUCCCGAGACACGCACCCUGCCGCCCGCCCUAGCUCCCCUCGCAUUUCAACCAAACACUGUGAUACACCACAAAUACCAACAGUCACGCAAGUGACACCCUAAAACGCACAACUUUCAACAAUGGAUCUCUUGGCUCUC
rnacentral:misc_RNA from 1 species